rnacentral:rRNA from 1 species
UACGUAGGGUGCGAGCGUUGUUCGGAAUUACUGGGCGUAAAGGGCUCGUAGGUGGCCAACUAAGUCGGACGUGAAAUCCCUCAGCUUAACUGGGGAACUGCGUCCGAUACUGGAUGGCUUGAGUUUGGGAGAGGGAUGCGGAAUUCCAGGUGUAGCGGUGAAAUGCGUAGAUAUCUGGAGGAACACCGGUGGCGAAGGCGGCAUCCUGGACCAAUACUGACACUGAGGAGCGAAAGCCAGGGGAGCAAACGGG